rnacentral:rRNA from 1 species
CCUCCAGUAGUCAUAUGCUUGUCUCAAAGAUUAAGCCAUGCAUGUCUAAGUAUGAACACGCUUUGUACGGUGAAACUGCGAAUGGCUCAUUAUAUCAGUGAUCAUUUAUUUGAUGAUGCCUUACUACGUGGAUAACCGUGGUAAUUCUAGAGCUAAUACAUGCACACGACUCCCGACUCGUGAGGGAAGGGAGGUAUUUAUUAGGUAAGAACCAGCCCUGGCAACAGGAGCUCUGGUGAUUCAUGAUAACUGCACGAAUCGCACGGCCUUGCGCUGGCGAUGGAUCAUUCAAAUUUCUGCCCUAUCAACUUUUGAUGGUAGGAUAGAGGCCUACCAUGGUCGCAACGGGUAACGGGGAAUUAGGGUUCGAUUCCGGAGAGGGAGCCUGAGAAACGGCUACCACAUCCAAGGAAGGCAGCAGGCGCGCAAAUUACCCAAUCCUGACACAGGGAGGUAGUGACAAUACAUAACAAUGCGCGGCUCUUCGAGUCGGGCAAUUGGAAUGAGGACACGGUAAACAGGUUAGCGAGGAACAAUUGGAGGGCAAGUCUGGUGCCAGCAGCCGCGGUAAUUCCAGCUCCAAUAGCGUAUAUUAAAGUUGUUGCAGUUAAAAAGCUCGUAGUUGGAAAUUGGGCACGGCCGGGCGGUCCACCUUAGGGUGCGUACUGCUCAGUGGCGUCUCGGCGUCGCGAGGCUGAGCCUUGGCCGCGUCCUCGUGCAGGGGCAACCUUGUACGCGGGACAGGCAGUUACCUUGAAAAAAUUAGAGUGUUCAAAGCCAGGCGUCUCCGCCGGAAUAGAUUAGCAUGGAAUAACGGAAUAGGACCUUGGUUCUGUUUUGCUGGUUCUCAGGACCACGGUAAUGAUCAACAGGGACAGUUGGGGGCACUCGUAUUUCAUUGCUAGAGGUGAAAUCCUUGGAUUUAUGAACGACGAACUUUUGCGAAAGCAUCUGCCAAGGAUGUUCUCAUUAAUCAAGAACGAAAGUUGGGGGAUCGAAGACGAUCAGAUACCGUCGUAGUCUUAACCAUAAACGAUGCCGACUAGGGAUCGGACGGUGUAGCUUCAUCCCGCGCGGCACCUCGNGAGAAAUCAAAGUGUUUGGGUUCCGGGGGGAGUAUGGUCGCAAGGCUGAAACUUAAAGGAAUUGACGGAAGGGCACCACCAGGAGUGGAGCCUGCGGCUUAAUUUGACUCAACACGGGGAAACUCACCAGGUCCAGACAUGGGAAGGAUUGACAGAUUGAGAGCUCUUUCUUGAUUCCAUGGAUGGUGGUGCAUGGCCGUUCUUAGUUGGUGGAGUGAUUUGUCUGCUUAAUUGCGAUAACGAACGAGACCUUGAUCUGCUAACUAGCGACGCUUAUCUUUGAUAGGUGGCACGCUUCUUAGAGAGACUGUACGUGUUGCAACGUACGGAAGCUCGAGGCAAUAACAGGUCUGUGAUGCCCUUGGAUGUUCUGGGCCGCACGCGCGCUACAAUGUCACGGCCAGCGAGUUAGCUGCUUCGGCGGCGUUACCUUGGCUGAUAAGCCUGGGGAAUCUUGUCAGACCGUGACGUGCUGGGGAUAGUCCUUUGCAAUUAUCGGACUUGAACGAGGAAUUCCUUGAAAGCGCAAGUCAUCAGCUUGCGCUGAAUCUGUCCCUGCCCUUUGUACACACCGCCCGUCGCUACUACCGAUUGAAUGGCUUAGUGAGGCCUUUGGAUGCGCGGCCACGGGGCGCAAGCCCUGUGUGUUGCGCAGAAGCUGGACAAACUUGGUCAUUUAGAGGAAGUAAAAGUCGUAACAAGGUUUCCGUAGGUGAACCUGCGGAAGGAUCAUUAGACCCCUUAAUCUCGGCAGGGAGACAAACCCAGUAUGCCAUCCUUGUGCUAUGUCCUACACCCGUGUGUUGCUGUACUUUUGUGUGUGCGUUUGCGCGCACACACAACUGUGCCUGCACUGUAUUUUACACCCAUUUUCCUUUCAACCCUUCUUAACCUCUUUUUGCUUGGCAACAAGCAUCAAAAAAACAAUCGAAAACUGCCAGCAAUGGAUCACUCGGUUCUCGCAUCGAUGAAAGAGCGUAGCGAAUUGCGAAAAGUAAUGUGAUUUGCAACAGUCGUGAAUCAUUGAAUUCUUGAACGCACCUUGCACUGUGUGGGCAACUGCACAGUCUGCCUGUUUGAGUAUUGACUAGAAAUUCAACUCAGCCACGCGCUGGAUGAUGAGUGCUUCACUCCUCCCUUGGAGUGGCACUUGCAAGGCAACUAUUGCACGCACUACGUGUGUGUUUGACGGUGUUUACACACUCUCAUGAUCUCGAGGCACACACUCGUUGCUACUCAAUCGGUGUUCAUGGGCAGGAAGUCAGGCACAACCAAGCACUAGGGCGUUGACUUACUCAGUCACCUUCUCUUUUCAUGCAAUCUCAAAUCAGGUAGGAUUACCCGCUUAACUUAAGCAUAUCAGUCAGCGGAGGAAAAGAAACCAACAGGGAUUCCCUUAGUAACGGCGAGUGAAGCGGGAAUAGCUCAGGCUGAAAAUCAAGUGUUCCCUAGGGACGUCUUGACGUGUGGUCUGACCAGGCAUGCUCGGCAACAGUGAAACUAAGUCCUCUGAAAGGGCACAUGGAGGUGACAGUCCGUUCGCAGUUGAUGUGUCGUUGCCAUGAGAGCUGUCUUCAGAGAGUCGGUGUCUUGGGAGAGCAGCCCAAAUGGGGUCGUAUACGCAUUCCAAGGCUAAAUAUCAGCGAGAGACCGAUAUCGAACAAGUACUGUGAAGGAAAGUUGAAAAGCACUCUGGAGAGAGAGUCAAACGAGCACGUGAAAUUGCUGGCAGGGAAAGCCUGGGCGUCAGUGCGCAUGCGCAAGGGAACAGGUUAGGGGUGGUGGUACUGUAGCUGUGUGCAAUGUGCAUGGCCAUGGUGCUGCUACCCUCAUGCUGCAAGCCCUUGUGCGUGGGUACAGCAUACGGUUAAGGCGAGCCACAUAACGGCUUGGUUUACGGCACAUUCUGUGUUGUAGGCCGAGUGCGGCGUGGUUCCCUUGACCGUGGAA